rnacentral:rRNA from 1 species
UCAAAGAUUAAGCCAUGCAUGCCUAAGUCCAGCCGAGUAUAUCUCUUCGGGGAUGACUCAGCGAAACCGCGGACGGCUCAUUAAAUCAGUUGUGGUCUAAAUGGGCGACAGUUAUUUUUUGGAUAACUGUGGUAAUUCCAGAGCUAAUACAUGCGACUAAAGUCCCUAGCCUUCAUGGGCGACGGAUGCUUUUAUUAGACCGAGGUGAACGGCUGUUUCUUCUUCGGAGGUUUCAGUACGCGAUGCUAAAGGUGACUCUGGAUAACACUUGAUAAGCGCACGCAACACUUAGUGAGCGGCGCUGCCACUUUCGAGUGACUGCCUUAUCAGCUAGUAACGUUUGUUAUGCGCAAACGCUGGCUCUGACGGGUAACGGGGAAUCAGGGCUCGAUUCCGGAGAGGCAGCCUGAGAAACGGCUACCACGUCCAAGGAAGG